rnacentral:tRNA from 1 species
GCCUCAGUAGUAUAAAAUUACAUUGGUCUUGUAAACCAAAUAUGGAGUACCUCCCUGAGACA